rnacentral:rRNA from 1 species
ACGGGAGGCAGCAGUGGGGAAUAUUGGACAAUGGGCGAAAGCCUGAUCCAGCGACGCCGCGUGAGUGAAGAAGUAUUUCGGUAUGUAAAGCUCUAUCAGCAGGGAAGAUAAUGACGGUACCUGACUAAGAAGCCCCGGCUAACUACGUGCCAGCAGCCGCGGUAAUACGUAGGGGGCAAGCGUUAUCCGGAUUUACUGGGUGUAAAGGGAGCGCAGGCGGAGAUGCAAGCAGUCUGUACAAUACCGGGGCCCAACCCCGGACCUGCAGACUGGACUGUUUCUCUUGGAUAGUUCAGGGGCAAGCGGAAUUCCUGGUGUAGCGGUGGAAUGCGUAGAGAUCAGGAAGAACACCGAUGGCGAAGGCAGCUUGCUGGGGACUUAUCGACGCUCAUGCUCGAAAGUGCGGGUAGCAAACAGGAUUAGAUACCCUGGUA